CUUGGAACCUAUGCAAUGCUACAACUAAAGCAAUAGCACUAACGCUCUUUGUCGCCCCGCGCUACAGCUGUGGAUAGACAUCCACUGGCCCGACUGGCCUCCUCACCUCUCUCUCUCAUUUCUCUCUCUCUCUCUCUCUCUCCCACGCGAUCCCCAAAUCGCUGCCCCUGCCGCUGGCCUCCCUUGCCAACUCCGGCGAGCUCUGGCGCCGUCCAGCAUACCCACGGCUCCCCCUCACUGAGUUCUACCUGAUCCACCUUUUCGAUCUGCUUUCCCCUGCCUCGUGUGGUCGCUCGCUUCGGUCAAACCUUGCUAGGGUUUCGGUGCUUGCGGGGCUAGGUCGCCGGCGUGGUUCCGGCGCCUUGCUCUUGUGUGACUCGCCUCCUGGCUGUGCCCAGGUGUUGCACGCGUCACUAAUGCGGCCCAGUGGUCGCUGGCGAUGCGGCGGUCGCCUGCCUCUCCACGGCUUCGCGUACCUCCCCUCCUGCCGUCAUGUGACGACGGUGAGUUGGCCACACCGCAACCGCGGCGGUGGCGAUGCACGGCCUCGGCUAUAACCCCUUCAUGUUCUAGUUCAUGCCUACGGAAUCGUCAUUGGGGAUUUGGUGCUGCUGGUGGUCCUAUGUGUUGCUGGUGGUCCUAUGUGCACUUGUUUGAUAUACUAGCAUUGUAUCCUUAACUGACAGUUAAACCAUUAACCUACCAUGCAUAUAGAUGUGUUCAUGUGGAAUUGAUGCUACUCUAACUCUGUGAUCAACUUGUGGUCAUGAUCUAGUUCUGGUUGUAGUUCUUGUUAUUUAAAUGUUCCUUUUAUUUCAGUUUCUCUUGCUGCAAGUAUAAUUACAUGCUUAUAUUCUUGUUGGCCGUAUCUGUGUUCAAUACAUAUUAGUUUUUAUUUAAAUACCAUGUACUGGUAUUUCUUGUUCUGUUUAGUACAUCAUCUUUUAGUGGUUUAGUUGUAUAUUGCACAUCACAUAGUCAUGGUAGUUGCAUGUGGUGACACUUCUUUUAUUGCUUUAGUUAUAUCAGAUGUUUCUUUUACAUGCUUAGUAAUUAACAGUAUCAUUGGUUUAAAUGAUAUAGCCCUUUAUUUAUAGAUACUUAUAUUGCUUUACCUGGUUCAGUUUAGAAUAGAUGCUCUCUUGGUCUUAGCUUUUCUCUCUUCCUUUCUUUCCUCCUCUUCUAAACUCUACUGAUAAGAACAGUUGCUCCUUGAUCUUAACCAAGCCCAUGAUGCUGGUCUGAGGCUCCUUGACCUUAACGACUUGGCUCUCCAAGCAACAAAAUCAGUUCAGCGGCGCUCUUGGAUCCUCUUUCUUGCUUAUUGGCAGUUUUCUUCGAUAGUUUUGUGUUGCCAUUGCUACCAGUCAUCAGAUUUUGGUAAGUUAUCUAACACUGCUGUUAGAGUCCAGAUGCGCCUUUUAGGUUUAGGAGCACCGCUGUCUAGCUCAGCAGGCGAGAGCUCUAAGUGUUGUUAUGUCUGAAAUUCCAUGGACAACCUUGUUUUGUUGGCAUAGUUAUUACUAGCCAUGCUCGGCAGUAUGACACACAUUGUGGCCGAUGGAUUUCGGUUUUCCAUGUGGUGUAAAAAGAAAUAUGUAGUAGUUUUUUUCCUAUUUAAUUGAUAACUACUUGGAUCGUGGAGGGUGGUGUUGAACGUGUAUGAGUGUUUGAUUUACUUAUUCCUCUCACAGAUGAGGAGAGUAGAAAGUAGCAGUUGGUAUUGCUUCUAGUGUAGCAGGCUAAAGCACUGAUCUUAGAAAAAUAAAUAGGUAUCCUAAACACCAUGAUUGUAAACGUGGAAGUCUGUUGUAUCAAACGAUUAUAUCGAAACGGUUUUGGCAAGAUGUGAUGGUCAACUGCACUAUGUGUGUCUCACUAGUAGUUGUAACAGGUGCUCAUUCUUCCUGAUGGACUGAAAUGCUUUUGUGCAUUACCUGUGUUUACACAGUGUAUUUUUUAUCUGUGGCACUUGCAGACUUGUGAAUCAAUCAAGAUGCAUUUACAAUCUUGAUCGUAAGAGCUUUCGUAAGAUAAGCUUGUGUCUAGCUUUGCUUCCUCACUUUGCUUCUAUUAUUCCAAUUAAUUGAAAAGGAUCCAAACAAGGCAGUUCCAUUGUUCCGAGCAGCUCUUAACAGUGGUGAACAAUUGAGAGUGCAUUGAAGGAUAUGGCUACUAUAUUGAAACAAGCAAACCGGGCUGAAGAAGCCAUCGAUGCGAUAAGAUCCUUCUGUGACCGUUGUCCCAAUGAAGCUCGGGAGUCUCUUAACAAUAUUCUUCUUGACCUAUACAAGAAAUGCGGUAGGACAAAAGAAACAGAUUGAAAUGCUGAUAGUGAAGCUGAGAAUGGUUGAUGUGGAUCUAGCUUCUGACCGGUGGAAAGCAAAGAUUUCUAAAUCUCAUGGAAGAGUAUUAUAUCUCUCUUUGAGGGAUGAAAAGGCAAGGUUGUUGGGUAACCUCGCCUGGGCCUAUAUGCAGCCUGAUAACUAUGAGGAGGCUGAAAUGCUCUACAAGUAUAUAUCUCGGCCUUGAAUUCGGCGUCCACGGCCAAACCCAGUAGGGAACACAUGGACAUGAAGCUACGGCGGCGACGAAUACGAUAUCGACAUUGGGCUGCGGCGACGAUGAUGACGACAACAUCCGCAUCGACACAGGGUUACGACGGCAACGAAGACGACAUCAACACCAUCAACACGGCCUUGUGGAGGCGCUGACGCCGACGACAUAGACGCGUGGCAUAUAUUGUGUGUGUGUGUGUGUGUGCGCAUGUGCGUGUGUUAAUUAUCUACAUCAGAUAUGUAUGAUUGAUGAUUGACUGUAUGCAUAACAUGUACGUAUUGUGAAAUGCAUGUCUAAACUGAAAUAGGUAGACUUUUAUUUUUUUUAAAUCCUAAUUUGUUACCAGUA